rnacentral:rRNA from 1 species
GACGAACGCUGGCGGCGUGCUUAACACAUGCAAGUCGAACGGAAAGGCCCUGCUUUUGUGGGGUGCUCGAGUGGCGAACGGGUGAGUAACACGUGAGUAACCUGCCCUUGACUUUGGGAUAACUUCAGGAAACUGGGGCUAAUACCGGAUAGGAGCUCCUGCUGCAUGGUGGGGGUUGGAAAGUUUCGGCGGUUGGGGAUGGACUCGCGGCUUAUCAGCUUGUUGGUGGGGUAGUGGCUUACCAAGGCUUUGACGGGUAGCCGGCCUGAGAGGGUGACCGGCCACAUUGGGACUGAGAUACGGCCCAGACUCCUACGGGAGGCAGCAGUGGGGAAUAUUGCACAAUGGGCGGAAGCCUGAUGCAGCAACGCCGCGUGCGGGAUGACGGCCUUCGGGUUGUAAACCGCUUUCGCCUGUGACGAAGCGUGAGUGACGGUAAUGGGUAAAGAAGCACCGGCUAACUACGUGCCAGCAGCCGCGGUGAUACGUAGGGUGCGAGCGUUGUCCGGAUUUAUUGGGCGUAAAGGGCUCGUAGGUGGUUGAUCGCGUCGGAAGUGUAGUCUUGGGGCUUAACCCUGAGCGUGCUUUCGAUACGGGUUGACUUGAGGAAGGUAGGGGAGAAUGGAAUUCCUGGUGGAGCGGUGGAAUGCGCAGAUAUCAGGAGGAACACCAGUGGCGAAGGCGGUUCUCUGGGCCUUUCCUGACGCUGAGGAGCGAAAGCGUGGGGAGCGAACAGGCUUAGAUACCCUGGUAGUCCACGCUGUAAACGGUGGGUACUAGGUGUGGGGUCCAUUCCACGGGUUCCGUGCCGUAGCUAACGCUUUAAGUACCCCGCCUGGGGAGUACGGCCGCAAGGCUAAAACUCAAAGGAAUUGACGGGGCCCCGCACAAGCGGCGGAGCAUGCGGAUUAAUUCGAUGCAACGCGUAGAACCUUACCUGGGUUUGACAUGGAUCGGGAGCGCUCAGAGAUGGGUGUGCCUCUUUUGGGGUCGGUUCACAGGUGGUGCAUGGCUGUCGUCAGCUCGUGUCGUGAGAUGUUGGGUUAAGUCCCGCAACGAGCGCAACCCUUGUUCACUGUUGCCAGCACGUUAUGGUGGGGACUCAGUGGAGACCGCCGGGGUCAACUCGGAGGAAGGUGGGGAUGACGUCAAGUCAUCAUGCCCCUUAUGUCCAGGGCUUCACGCAUGCUACAAUGGCUGGUACAGAGAGUGGCGAGCCUGUGAGGGUGAGCGAAUCUCGGAAAGCCGGUCUCAGUUCGGAUUGGGGUCUGCAACUCGACCUCAUGAAGUCGGAGUCGCUAGUAAUCGCAGAUCAGCAACGCUGCGGUGAAUACGUUCCCGGGGCU